rnacentral:rRNA from 1 species
AUGAAGUGGUACUCGCGGAGCCGGUCCGUGCCGGCCACGCCCAGGGGCCUCCCCGCCGACGCCAUCGCCGGCAACCCCGGCCCCGGCUGCAUGUCCAUGGUCCACUACCUCAUCUUCGCCCCCGGCGCCGGCUGCGUCGGCCGCCCUCCCUCCUCCGACGGUUCCUCCGUUGCCGCCACGGCCACCGCCGUCGUCUCCGGUUCCCACAAGCUCAACUCUCCUUCUCCCUCACCCCACGAGAAAGGGCUGGAGGCGCCGAGGAACAGCCUGGAGCUGGACGCGGACCAGCUGCGGGACAUCCAGAUCGGCGUGCAGGUGGAGCCGGCGUUCGACGCGCUGGCGGUGGCCGGCAGGAGGAGCACGGGAGGCCGGGCCACCGCGCCGCCGUCCGAGGCCGGGACGCCGCGCACGCCCAGCCUCGUCGCGCGCCUCAUGGGCAUCGACGGCCUCCCCGACGACGCCUGCUCGCCCUCGCCGGGCCUCAAGAAGGGCAACAACAAUCCCAGGGCGGCGGCGGCGGCGGCGGCCGUCAAGGAGAAGAAGAAGCGGGUCAUCCCCGAGUCCAUGAACCGGCAGCCGCUGCGGAGCCUCAGCUGCAACGUCGGCGCCGGCGACGCCAGGUCGCUCCCGGACACGCCGCGGGCGUCCGCGUCGUCGGCCAGGACGGCCUCCGCGUGGGACGUGGUGGACCGCCCGCGGCUGUCGUUGCAGGUGCUCAAGGAGAACGUGCUCGACAGGGCGGCGCAGUACAUGUCCAUGCCGACCUCGCCGACGUCGGCGAAGAAGAAGAAGGAUAGGAGGGACGGGGACGCCGUGGGGCACCGGCGGAGGGACGCCAAGGAACACGCCCGCGAGAUCGUCAGGCAGGCCAAGGAGACCGUCACCAACCGCAAGUCCGGCGGCAAGCAGAAGCCGACGACGGCGAGCGCGGGCUGCGACAACAAGGAAAACGCGAUUCCGUCUGCGGUGGAGGACAAGAAGAUGGUGGUGGUCCAAGUUCCAGCAGCGGCAGCUUCCGUCGUCACACCGACCGCGCCGCCGACGCCGCAGGCGAAAGCACAAGCCGAUCAGCAGCAGCCACACGCCCCGAGGCUUCCACCGCCCCCGCCGCCGAUGCGCGCGAAACCGUCGCGGCCACCGCCUCCGCCACCGCCACCGGAUCAUCCAAUUCCAACGACGUCGACCAGAGCGGCGCCGCUGUCGCCGCAGGCCGUCCAGUGCAAGCGACCACCAGACGGGUGCGAGCGCUUCGCGACGCGGGUCAAGAACCGCCAGCCGAGACAACGAUUGAAAAGGCGGCACCCCCGUCGUCUCCUUCCACAGUCGCAGGAGCCACCGCGCCGGCGGCGAGCUCGCACGCGCGCGUCGUCGACCAGCACCACCGCCGCAGAUUACUUCUUCCCGCGGUUGCGUCCACAUCGUCCUCGUCCUCGUCGCUGGAGGACGACCCCGAGUACGGUUACCUGCGAACGGUGCUGGAGCGUGGCGGGUUCAUGCGCGCAGUGCCGCCGCCGCACCGGCCGUUCAAGGGCCACUCCAUGUCAUCCCCGGUGGACCCGAUCGUGUUCCAUCUCCUGGAGCUGGACCUCCCCGCGGACGACUCCGACGACCGCCGCCAGGGCCCGCUCCGGCACCGCUGGAACCGGAAGCUCCUCUUCCACCUAG